GCGUCUGGCUAAGUGGCUAGGCGCGCGAGUGGCUCGUCUCCCUCCCUCGAUUACGUACUGCCCCGAGCGGCCAAGCCCCAAUUUCAAUCGAUCCCCUUUUGCCAAACCUAGCUAGCUCCCCCGAUUCAGCCUACCCUGGAAUCAGGUCCGGCUCCGGCGGCCAGGUCGGCUCUCUCCUUCCUCCCUCGCCUCACCCCUCGGUCCCCUCCCCUCCUGCCACCCUCUCCCUCUCCCUCCCUUGCUGGGGCCCGCCCUUGCCCAGACGCCCUCCGACCCUCUGCCGCUCUGCGCCGACCUCUGCGGCGGUGCGGCUUCGCCAGGCGCCGGUCCGCCUCCGACCUCCCGGUUGGCGGCUCCUCGGCCCAAGUAGGCGCCCAGCCCCUCCCGGCUCACCUCCACGGCUCCGCCCUAGACAUUCUGCAUCCAUCUACCUUCAUUUCCUGGCGCCGCCACUGCCCACCAAGAACCCAAUGGCGCCUCCUCUGCCUCGCGAACAAGGUGGCCGCCGCAUCUCCCGCAAGCAGUAGCAACAACUAGCACGCAUGCACAGUGCUCGGUGUUGCAAGAAGUACUUUGUCUACUGCGGAUCUAGGCGUGCGUUGAUCGAUUCUUCCCGGUUGAAUGCGGACGUACAAGCACAGGAGCUAGUUGUUGAAUCGACUCUAGCCACCGGCUAGACAUACCAUAUACGGCGGUCGCCUACUUGAAGCUGAGGGAGGGCCCCGACUGUCGGCGUUGACCGCCUCGGUGGUGGCGGAGGGUGUCCUGCAGGGCGGCUGCUCCCGGCGGCGUGCGGUUCGUCGCCAUUGUCUCCAUGCCUUCAGGCGCGGCGACAGUGCAACGACUGGCACGCGGAGCGGCUGCGACCACCUAGCGGCGACGGGCGGGAUUCCGGCAGCACAUGGCCACAGUGCACGGGGGCUGAUCGCUUUUGUUUUUUAUUAAAGGAUGUCUAUGUAAAAUUCCAGGGACUAUUGUUGGUACAUUUCAACCAACCCUGUCUCCGUGAACUGUUAUGCCAUGUGACCGAAAUGCGGGACCCACCUGCCAUAAACGCGCUCAAAUAAGCCUAAUCCGCCGAUCGAUGUUAUUUGCCAAACGAUUACACUAGACAUGGUGUUGUUUGUCCAAAAACAAUGUAAAUUCGUGUUUUCUGCUAAUCUAGCCUUCAAUGUGGUUGUGGUGGUUUCUUA